GAAAGGAUGCUAAUACCGCAUACGCCCUGAGGGGGAAAGAUUUAUUGCUAAGAGGUCGGCCCGCGGUAGAUUAGGCAGUUGGUGGGGUAAAGGCCUACCAAACCUACGAUCUAUAGCUGGUCUGAGAGGACGAUCAGCCACAUUGGAACUGAGACACGGUCCAGACCCCUACGGGAGGCAGCAGUGAGGAAUAUUGGGCAAUGGAGGCAACUCUGACCCAGCCAUGCCGCGUGAGUGAAGAAGGUUUUCGAAUUGUAAAGCUCUUUCGGGUGUGAAGAUGAUGACGGUAACACCAGAAGAAGCCCCGGCAAACUUCGUGCCAGCAGCCGCGGUAAUACGAAGGGGGCGAGCGUUGUUCGGAAUUACUGGGCGUAAAGGGUGUGUAGGCGGUUAAGUAAGAUAGUGGUGAAAUGCCGGGGCUCAACCUCGGAAUUGCCAUUAUGACUAUUUAGCUAGAAUGGUGCAGAGGAUAGCGGAAUACCCAGUGUAGAGGUGAAAUUCGUAGAUAUUGGGUAGAACACCAGAGGCGAAGGCGGCUAUCUGGGCAUUGAUUGACGCUGAGGCACGAAAGCAUGGGGAUCAAACAGGAUUAGAUACCCUGGUAGUCCAUGCUGUAAAAGAGGAAUGCUAGUUGUUGGAGGAAUUCAGUG
rnacentral:rRNA from 1 species